ensembl:lncRNA
GCCUCUGGCUACCCGCCAUCCCCUGUGCCAGGAGGGAACCUUGUGUUAGCCAGGAGCAUGUGAGCCAACAAGAAUGGGAAGGAGAGGGAAUGGACUCCACACUGCACCCAGCUGUCAUGUAAGUGUGGAAGUUUGCCUCUUCCAGCAGAUGAUCUAAGCAGCUUGUGGACACAUAUUUUGAUAGAUUAUGAAGUUCGAUGCAUUUUAUUAGAAAUUAAAACGACAAUAUGAAUAAUCUCAACAGGAGUGAAAUCUCAACACCUCUAAGAGAUCAGCCAAGGUUUUCUGCUUCAAGCCUUUAAAUGUCAUGAAGAAGCAGCAAGAUGGCAUCGCUGCCUCCAACAAGUCCUCCUCCCAAAUCCUCAGAGAGAUGAAAAAGUGCUGCCUGUUGCCCAGGAGCAGACAGAGCAAGGAGACUUUUCAUACUAAAACUUGAUGCAAAACAGCGAGCCACAGUGUCACAAAACAGAUUCGACAGCUCAAGGUUUUAAUUACUGUUUACAGCUAGAGAGCGGACAAAGCAAGCUCCAGGUCUCAACUGCUUUUUGUAUCCUGGGAAAUGAGAGCAAUUCUUUCUAUCAUAUUCAGAAAGAAAAUGAAAAGGAGGAAGAAGCCCUCUCCUGCCCUACGUCCCCCAUGGCUCAGCACUGCCCACCCAAGGCUGGAAGAAGUUGGUCAUACGGAGUUCCCUUGGCGCCUUCUGCCCUCUUAAGGUCUUCAAUGCCUGCUAAGAUACUCAGCAAUGGAAAUGAUGCUGAUGCUCCUCUCCUGCCAAAAGAUAAUCCCCUCCACGUUCACAUUUAGAGUACACUGAGGCAGCUCUGGUGCUCCUCUAACCACACCAACAUUUUUUUCACAGAUGGCACAGAAUAAAUGCCUUCUCAAAACCACAGGUUUGCCAGCAGAACUACGGUAACGCCUGCUUAGAAAAUAGUUGAGAAUGUAAUUAUAAGUAUAUACAUUCAAAAGACCCACAGGUGACCAGAUCGAGUCUGAUAAAAGAUGCCUUUUAUUGUCUUGACCAUAUAUUUAUAUAUAGAAGUGUAGUCCUGACCAAUGCAGGUCAGUGCCACAUAAACAUUCCACAUGCCAACGUACGCACUGAAGUCAUUGUUCACAGCAAUAACCUCUCCUUUUAAUAAACCAUCUCCUUUACGCAGAAAUGCCUAAAGGUUUUCUAAUGUAUAUCAGUCUUUUGAACAUCACAUAAUCAAUUUAACACGAGAAAGGGAAAAGAAAUGUACCUGCACGGAUCCCCGCAUAUUCAGAUAAACCUUGCUGCUAUGAGGUUAGCAUAAAACCACACCAAAACCAGAUGAGGACAAACAGUUGCGGUGAAAGCCUGAUUUCUGACCAUGUAUUUACUGCAUUCUGAAUUCUAUUCACCUUUUGUGUGUGUGUGUGUGUGUGUGUGUGUGUGUGAAAUUGUUUCAGUUAUACAGAUUAUCUUGGAGUUUUCACAAUGAAGCUAAUGGGUUUCUAAGACUUUCAUAGCAUGCGUGAGCUGUAAGACAAGGAAUAGUAUAACAUUCCUUCACUGGCAGUGAUUUAAUAAUCUCAAUAGUAAAAUAAAGGCAAAAAAAAAAAAAAAGAAAAAAAAAGAAAGAGAUCAAGCUGGUGUUCUUUCCUAUCUGAUCUCUUAGAAAGUAGGUCUUCAAAGAACAACCACUGUGCUGCAGAAAUUGACACUGGCAAUUAAAUGAUAUUCCCUCUCUGAAUGGAAGUACACGGUGCUAUCACCAGUGCUGUUUGUCUAAUGACAUGGAAAAUUAAGGUUUUUAACCACUUACUAUCAUUUAGUGGAGGCCUUUUCAAAAUCGAGGUGGCAUGGAUCUAGCUACAGAAAUGGGACAGAAUGCUGAAGAAUGUCGGGGCAGACAAGACCAACACUAUUUCUACUGUG